rnacentral:rRNA from 1 species
UUUAAAUUGAGAGUUUGAUCCUGGCUCAGGAUGAACGCUGGCGGCGUGCUUAACACAUGCAAGUCGAGCGAUGAAGUUUCCUUCGGGAAACGGAUUAGCGGCGGACGGGUGAGUAACACGUGGGUAACCUGCCUUAUAGAGUGGAAUAGCCUUCCGAAAGGGAGAUUAAUACCG